CCCUUGUUAAAUGUUGUACUUUGUGGAUACCCAUGAAUCUUGAAACACUUAUCAAUUAAGUGCCCAGAUUUUUUGUAGUAUCUACAGAAUAAAGAUCCUCUAUCUUGGUCAAAAUUGACUCUUUGUCUGAAAGAAGGAGAAGUAUUAGGCACCGUGACCUUAUUGAAUCCAACUGAAUGUUUAUUUGUGUGGACAUUGAAAGACAUAGAGUCUGGAUUAAACUGAGAAGGGGACUGGACUUAUCUCUGCUUCUCAUCAUUGAGGACCAUAUUAUAGACACUGUCAAGGGUUGGAGGUGGCUGCAUCAUCAAUAGGUUACUCCUUACCCCCAUGUAUGCUUGAGGUGGCUGCAUCAUCAAUAGGUUACUCCUUACCCCUCAUGUAUGCUUCAUUAAGGCCCAUUAGAAACUAAAACACCUUAUUUUCAUCAUCUUCCUGUAUUAUACCAUUUUUGGCAGCACAUACACAUCUUUGCCCAUGAUUUGUACACAUUGUUUAUAAUUCAUCCCACAGACCUUUAAGUUUGUUAAAAUAUGAAGCUACAUCUAGAGACCCUUGAGAAGUGUGAGAAAGCUCUCUUUUCAAUUCAAAAAUUUUGGUCCUGUUGGCAGUGUCAUAUCUGGCCUGAAGCUGGGACCAUAUACUUAGUGCAGUAUCAG
rnacentral:lncRNA from 1 species